rnacentral:rRNA from 1 species
CCUGGCUCAGGAUUGGAAACGGCUGGGCCGGGAACUAGCGUUACUUACACUAGUCGAAGUACGAGACGGGCAGCGGGCGGGUCGACCUGGCGGCGAGCGGCGAACGGGUGAGUAACACAUCGGAACGUGCCCAGACGUGGGGGAUAGCCCGGCGAAAGCCGGAUUAAUACCGCAUGUGAUCUGAGGAUGAAAGUGGGGGACCGCAAGGCCUCACGCGUUUGGAGCGGCCGAUGGCAGAUUAGGUAGUUGGUGGGGUAAAGGCUUACCAAGCCUGCGAUCUGUAGCUGGUCUGAGAGGAUGAUCAGCCACACUGGGACUGAGACACGGCCCAGACUCCUACGGGAGGCAGCAGUGGGGAAUUUUGGACAAUGGGCGCAAGCCUGAUCCAGCCAUUCCGCGUGCAGGACGAAGGCCUUCGGGUUGUAAACUGCUUUUGUACGGAACGAAAGGGCUCUGGUUAAUACCUGGGGCAUAUGACGGUACCGUAAGAAUAAGCACCGGCUAACUACGUG